UACCCGAAUAAGAAGGUCCGGCUAACUUCGUGCCAGCAGCCGCGGUAAUACGAAGGGACCUAGCGUAGUUCGGAAUUACUGGGCUUAAAGAGUUCGUAGGUGGUUGAAAAAGUUGGUGGUGAAAUCCCAGAGCUUAACUCUGGAACUGCCAUCAAAACUUUUCAGCUAGAGUUUGAUAGAGGAAAGCAGAAUUUCUAGUGUAGAGGUGAAAUUCGUAGAUAUUAGAAAGAAUACCAAUUGCGAAGGCAGCUUUCUGGAUCAUUACUGACACUGAGGAACGAAAGCAUGGGUAGCGAAGAGGAUUAGAUACCCUCGUAGUCCAUGCCGUAAACGAUGUGUGUUAGACGUUGGAAAUUUAUUUUCAGUGUCGCAGCGAAAGCGAUAAACACACCGCCUGGGGAGUACGACCGCAAGGUUAAAACUCAAAUGAAUUGACGGGGACCCGCACAAGUAGUGGAGCAUGUGGUUUAAUUCGAAGAUACGCGCAGAACCUUACCAACACUUGACAUGUUCGUCGCGACUUUAAGAGAUUAAAGUUUUCGGUUCGGCCGGACGAAACACAGGUGCUGCAUGGCUGUCGUCAGCUCGUGUCGUGAGAUGUUGGGUUAAGUCCCGCAACGAGCGCAACCCUCACUUUUAGUUGCCAUCAUUUAGUUGGGCACUCUGAAAGAACUGCCAGUGAUAAGCUGGAGGAAGGUGGGGAUGACGUCAAGUCCUCAUGGCCCUUACGUGUUGGGCUACACACGUGCUACAAUGGUAUCUACAACAGGAAGCAAAACGGCGACGUUAAGCAAAUCCUU
rnacentral:rRNA from 1 species